rnacentral:rRNA from 1 species
UAAAGCUCGUAGUUGGAUUUCUGUUAAUAAUUUAUAUAAAAUAUUUUGAUGAAUAUUUAUAUAAUAUUAACAUAAUUCAUAUUACUAUAUAUUUUAGUAUAUGAAAUUUUACUUUGAGAAAAUUAGAGUGCUUAAAGCAGGCAUAUGCCUUGAAUACUCCAGCAUGGAAUAAUAUUAAAGAUUUUUAUCUUUCUUAUUGGUUCUAAGAUAAGAAUAAUGAUUAAUAGGGACAGUUGGGGGCAUUUGUAUUUAACAGUCAGAGGUGAAAUUCUUAGAUUUGUUAAAGACAAACUA